AUGCUGGCCGACGGGCCGGUUACCGGCGACUAUGAUCUCGCCCCCGCGAACUGGGGGGACCAUGAUCACCCGCAAAUGGACUAUGCCGAUGAGAUCGGCCGCAAGAUUGGCAGACUUGAGGGAGACGCCCUGCGCUUCGACAUCGACCUCCACUUGCCGUCACUGGUGGUAUGUUUGGUUUUCAGCCAUCCACAGGCCCUAAUCCGCGCGUGCAAAGAGGCCGACGCUGCUGCAGGAGCUCUCGCGGCACCCGGUCAGGAAUGCGCAAUUUGCCAUUUGGACUUGGAGACUGGUGACGAGGAGAUCGUCAGGCUGCCGUGCUUCCACGCCCAUGCCUUCCAUACCCCAUGCAUCAAACAGUGGUUCUAUCAACAGUCAAAGUGCCCAAUUUGUCGGCGUGAGGUGCCGGAUUACUUCGGCUUUAGAUUCUGA
rnacentral:rRNA from 1 species